AAGUCGUAACAAGGUUUCCGUAGGUGAACCUGCGGAAGGAUCAUUAAAAGAGAAGUCGCCCGGGUGGGUAACACCUCCGGGCACACUCUCCACCCAUUGCUUGUUAUACAUUAGUUGCUUUGGCGGGCCUGGGCCCUGCCCCGCCGGCUCAGCCAGCGAGCGCCCGCCGGAGGUCAAACACAAACUCUGAAGUAAACCAUGAAGUCUGAACAAACUAUGAAAAUAGCCUAAAACUUUCAACAACGGAUCUCUUGGUUCUG
rnacentral:misc_RNA from 1 species